CCAUGUGCAUGGCAGCUGCAUGCAGCCGGCCGCCCGUUAGCAGCCGCUAAUUACUCAGUCAUCCAUGCUAAAAUACUUGGUCAAAACUUUGGUUAAACAGCAGCAACCAAAUACAUGUAAAACUGAGAAAAACUUUGGUUUUAAGAAACUGUAGUAUUCUUUGCCCAUCCAGAGUAAUACUGUGGUUUUCAAUUACCACAGUUUAAAAAAAAACUUUGCUGCCAAACUAGCCCUAAAAUGUAUUUUUUACAGUGACAGGAGAGAGUAUCUACCUCGGCGAAAAGGGUGGCAAAUCCUCCCCCAUCCGGCCGUCUCCGCCGGUGGUACCAACUCCGAGCAGAUCUCCCCUCUUCCUUCGAUUCGUGGUCGAAUUCGAUUCCGGAGCGGCCUUUCAACGAUUAAGAUCGCUGCAGAUCGCUGCUCGCUUUGUUCGUUCCCACUCCACUCCAGCAAAUCAAAUGGAGCCUCCGCGCACAAGCCUCAAGUCUGGAUCUUGCGAUGAUCUGGAGAACGGGCGCAGAAAAAUGAUGGAGGAGUAUGAGGCUGGACUUGCUGGACUUUUGGAGCUUGAGGCGCUCGAGCGCGAGAUGCGCGAACUUGUCCCCGCAGCGACCAGCGCAAUCGCGCUCCUGGCCACUCCAAGGGUGGGCGAUACGAGGGAGACCUACUGCCAUGUUUGCCAUGAUGAUUUCGAGGAAGGGGGGACAAGCUGAGGGCGAUGCCAUGCGCCCACUCUUUCCAUCAGCGCUGUAUCUUCAGGGUGCUCAGUGUUAACCGUCUGUGCCCAGUCUGCAGCUACGAACUUCCGGGGGACUACCUGGAGAUGCCUUGAAACCGCUCAUGAAAGAUUGUUUCCUGUGAUCCUUUCUUAAUUAUGCAGCGUUCUGUAUAAUUCUUAAUUAUGCGUUGCUUUAUCUAUCUGUAGUGCAGAUCAGCAACUUUUGUCAUCUCGUUGGAGAAUAUUGCUCCUACAACAUUAUUCGGUUUAACUCUGCUAUUAUGCUAAACAUCAAUACAUAUUUUUGAGAUAUCCCCAAA